AUUGAACGCUGGCGGCAUGCUUUACACAUGCAAGUCGAACGGUAACAGGCCGCAAGGUGCUGACGAGUGGCGAACGGGUGAGUAAUGCAUCGGAACGUGCCCAGUCGUGGGGGAUAACGCAGCGAAAGCUGCGCUAAUCCCGCAUACGAUCUCUGGAUGAAAGCGGGGGACCGAAAGGCCUCGCGUGAUUGGAGCGGCCGAUGUCAGAUUAGGUAGUUGGUGGGGUAAAGGCCCACCAAGCCAACGAUCUGUAGCUGGUCUGAGAGGACGACCAGCCACACUGGGACUGAGACACGGCCCAGACUCCUACGGGAGGCAGCAGUGGGGAAUUUUGGACAAUGGGCGUAAGCCUGAUCCAGCAAUGCCGCGUGCAGGAAGAAGGCCUUCGGGUUGUAAACUGCUUUUGUACGGAACGAAACGGUCCGGGUUAAUACCCUGGGCUAAUGACGGUACCGUAAGAAUAAGCACCGGCUAACUACGUGCCAGCCGCCGCAGUAACAC
rnacentral:rRNA from 1 species